GGGCGUGUGGUGUAGAGGUAUCACGUCUGCUCCGCAUGCAGAAGACCCCGAGUUGAAUUAUCGGCACGUCCA
rnacentral:tRNA from 1 species